CAUGACUCGACCUAAUCUGGUCAC
rnacentral:miRNA from 1 species